UGGGGAGUCGUCUAGUGGUAGGACAGCGGACUCUGGAUCCGUAUGCGAAGGUUCGAAUCCUUCCUCCCCAGCCA
rnacentral:tRNA from 1 species